GACGAACGCUGGCGGCGCGCCUAACACAUGCAAGUCGAACGAGCGAGAGAGAGCUUGCUUUCUCGAGCGAGUGGCGAACGGGUGAGUAACGCGUGAGGAACCUGCCUCAAAGAGGGGGACAACAGUUGGAAACGACUGCUAAUACCGCAUAAGCCCACGGCUCGGCAUCGAGCAGAGGGAAAAGGAGCAAUCCGCUUUGAGAUGGCCUCGCGUCCGAUUAGCUGGUUGGUGAGGUAACGGCCCACCAAGGCGACGAUCGGUAGCCGGACUGAGAGGUUGAACGGCCACAUUGGGACUGAGACACGGCCCAGACUCCUACGGGAGGCAGCAGUGGGGAAUAUUGCACAAUGGGGGAAACCCUGAUGCAGCGACGCCGCGUGGAGGAAGAAGGUCUUCGGAUUGUAAACUCCUGUUGUUGGGGAAGAUAAUGACGGUACCCAACAAGGAAGUGACGGCUAACUACGUGCCAGCAGCCGCGGUAAAACGUAGGUCACAAGCGUUGUCCGGAAUUACUGGGUGUAAAGGGAGCGCAGGCGGGAAGACAAGUUGGAAGUGAAAUCUAUGGGCUCAACCCAUAAACUGCUUUCAAAACUGUUUUUCUUGAGUAGUGCAGAGGUAGGCGGAAUUCCCGGUGUAGCGGUGGAAUGCGUAGAUAUCGGGAGGAACACCAGUGGCGAAGGCGGCCUACUGGGCACCAACUGACGCUGAGGCUCGAAAGUGUGGGUAGCAAACAGGAUUAGAUACCCUGGUAGUCCACACCGUAAACGAUGAUUACUAGGUGUUGGAGGAUUGACCCCUUCAGUGCCGCAGUUAACACAAUAAGUAAUCCACCUGGGGAGUACGACCGCAAGGUUGAAACUCAAAGGAAUUGACGGGGGCCCGCACAAGCAGUGGAGUAUGUGGUUUAAUUCGACGCAACGCGAAGAACCUUACCAAGUCUUGACAUCCUGCGACGGUGCUGGAAACAGUACUUUCCUUCGGGACGCAGAGACAGGUGGUGCAUGGUUGUCGUCAGCUCGUGUCGUGAGAUGUUGGGUUAAGUCCCGCAACGAGCGCAACCCUUAUGGUCAGUUACUACGCAAGAGGACUCUGGCCAGACUGCCGUUGACAAAACGGAGGAAGGUGGGGAUGACGUCAAAUCAUCAUGCCCUUUAUGACUUGGGCUACACACGUACUACAAUGGCGUUAAACAAAGAGAAGCAAGACCGCGAGGUGGAGCAAAACUCAGAAACAACGUCCCAGUUCGGACUGCAGGCUGCAACUCGCCUGCACGAAGUCGGAAUUGCUAGUAAUCGUGGAUCAGCAUGCCACGGUGAAUACGUUCCCGGGCCU
rnacentral:rRNA from 1 species